AGAGGUGGCAAGCGUUGUUCGGAAUUACUGGGCGUAAAGGGCGCGUAGGCGGCCGCCUAAGUCAGACGUGAAAUCCCCAAGCUUAACUUGGGAACUGCGUCUGAUACUGGGUGGCUCGAGUUCGGGAGAGGAAUGUGGAAUUCCAGGUGUAGCGGUGAAAUGCGUAGAUAUCUGGAGGAACACCGGUGGCGAAGGCGGCAUUCUGGACCGAAACUGACGCUGAUGCGCGAAAGCCAGGGGAGCAAACGGGAUUAGAUACCCCGGUAGUCCUGGCCCUAAACGAUGAGUGCUUGGUGUGGUGGGUAUCGAUCCCUGCCGUGCCGAAGCUAACGCAUUAAGCACUCCGCCUGGGGAGUACGGUCGCAAGGCUGAA
rnacentral:rRNA from 1 species